CCCUUAGAUGUUCUGGGCCGCACGCGUGCUACACUGAGUGGAUCAGCGGGUCAGGUUGCGCGAAAGUGUUUCCUAAUCUUGAAAUCCGCUCGUGAUGGGGAUUGACGGUUGCAAUUUUCCGUCAUGAACGAGGAAUACCUUGUAAGCGCGGGUCAUCAUCCCGCGCUGAAUACGUCCCUGCCCUUUGUACACACCGCCCGUCGCUCUUACCGAUUGAGUGGUCCGGUGAGGCUUUGGGAUCUGAGCAAAGAGAGCGUUUCGCUCGUUUUGCCCGGAAAACUCAGUCGAACCUUAUCAUUUAGAGGAAGGAGAAGUCGUAACA
rnacentral:rRNA from 1 species